GACGAACCGUACGAACGUUAUUCGGAAUUACUGGGCUUAAAGGGUGCGUAGGCUGUGCGGAAAGUUGGGCGUGAAAUACCUCAGCUUAACUGAGGAACUGCGUUCAAAACUACCGUGCUUGAGGGAGACAGAGGUAAGCGGAACUGAGGGUGGAGCGGUGAAAUGCGUUGAUAUCCUCAGGAACACCGGUGGCGAAAGCGGCUUACUGGGUCUCUUCUGACGCUGAUGCACGAAAGCUAGGGGAGCAAACGGG
rnacentral:rRNA from 1 species